rnacentral:rRNA from 1 species
UACGAAGGGGGCUAGCGUUGCUCGGAAUUACUGGGCGUAAAGGGCGCGUAGGCGGCACUGUUAGUCAGACGUGAAAGUCCUGGGCUCAACCUGGGAACUGCGCUUGAUACGGCAGAGCUAGAGGAUGGAAGAGGGUCGCGGAAUUCCCAGUGUAGAGGUGAAAUUCGUAGAUAUUGGGAAGAACACCGGUGGCGAAGGCGGCGACCUGGUCCAUUACUGACGCUGAGGCGCGACAGCGUGGGGAGCAAACAGG